rnacentral:sRNA from 1 species
CAAAUACGACUCAGGGGAAGGUGAGAACCUUCGUCAGGUUCGACAAUGCGUAGCAUUGAACAGCGGAACAUAGUGACGCUGGCCUGUAAGGCGAGCGCAGCGAGUAAUCCUUCCCCCUCCACCA